UAUAUAUAUUUAAAAAAAAAAUUGUUUUUAUAAGAGAACAUAAAAAUCAAAUUUAAAAGAAAAUAAUUUUUUAACCCUUGAUGGACGUAUCUCACCUCCCACGUAAUAUCUAAGAUUUAACCUUAUCAAACGCUUAUCACCUCUCGUCUGACAAGGUUAGUUUUAUCAGAAAAGUAGAUACGCUAACGUCUACUAAAGGGUUAAUUAAGUGAACAUAUUGCUAAUAUCGUUCAAUUCCUGGAAUUGGAAAUUGGAUUAACUUUAUAGGGCAUAGAUUCAAAGAAAAUGGAUGUUGCAGAGAUCUUCUUGGUUGCAGUGAAAAAUCCUAAAAAUUAAUAAUAAAAAUAUGACAAUUAAUAUAAUUAUGACAUACAAUUAAUAUAAAAUAAGAAAUAUAAUUUCAACCAUGUGUAAGAUGUCCUCCAUCUGGAAGAUCUAAACCCAUGAUACGACCAUGAGGUUCUAACAAUCCUGUGUAGACCGCAAAGUUAGCAGGACUUCCAGAAUAAGGUUGUACGUUGCAUCCCCAUUCCUCAGGAUUUAAAUUAAAUGCCUCUAAAGAUCUUUUCUGCGCUAAUAUUUCUAUUUCAUCAAUGUAUUCAUUUCCACCAUAGUAUCUAAUAUAUAAAUAUCGCCAAAUCAGAUAGAUAUUAUCGAUAUGACAGAAUGAAAUCUUAAGAUAAGGAAGACGAUGGAUAUGAAAAAUAAUAAGAUACCUUUGUCCAGGAAGACCUUCGCUGUAUUUAUUAUGAAGACAAGAACUUAAACAUUGCAGUACACUGAGAGAUGUGAAA
rnacentral:lncRNA from 1 species